CCCACAUAAAGUGGGUAUGCCACUUUAAGAGAAGAGGUUAAGGAAGCUGGGUGGUCUGCCUGGCCAAUGAGAAGUUUAGUUUCCAGAGCGUCUGGACCAAUCAGGGUGCAGGCUGCCGUUGUGGAUCCCGCCCUUCUCCCCCGGGUCUGCAGUACCGUUGGUUUUGCUCUAGAGAUCCGACGCGGUGAGACUGCUGAGCGGGGCAGCGCCAGAAGCCGUUAGGAAUCGUUGGCUCUUUCUGGCAGUUAUUUCAGCUUGUUCUUCGUAGAUAAAAGUGCCCCACGCAUCCGGAUUGAGACCCACUCACUAUACGGUUGUCUGAAGUG